GGAAAGUUCUAGAAAAGGGAGGAAAAAAAACGGAGGCUCUGCGGCGAUGGAGAGAAUACCGAGCAGUUGGCUCGUUUAAAAAAAGUCGCUAUGCGUUUGUUUUAAACACAGCAGACAUAAAGAUGGAUAAAUCUCCAGAACUGGUUGAAAUGUACCCAAGCUGUUAUGCAAGGCAAGCAAAGAGAUUGCUGGGGUCUUGAGAUUUCACAGGUGGAUGAGCGAACUAAAUGUGAUAUUUCUACUGAAGAACGGUCUCGACCCAAAGCAUCACCCAUUCCUUCUCUCCAGAGAUGCUGCCAGCCCCGCUAAGUUACUCCAGCAUUUUGUGUCUACCUUCGAUUUAAACCAGCAUCUGCAGUUCGUUCUUACAGGUGAUAUUUCUACCUUUACUUUCAACACAGACUGGAUGAUAUUGUGAUCAUCCAUGCCGACCCUAAUGCCUAUUCACACUAAUCUCA